rnacentral:lncRNA from 1 species
AGAUGCCACGCAGUGAGAUUGAACCCGGAACCAUAUGGUAGCUGUUUCAGGCGUGUUUUAUAUUGUUGAAGAGAAGCGUUACAUAAUGCAAAGAAACAAAGAAAAUAACGACUACAGGAUACGACGAAAGAAUUUUCAAGAGAAAGGUGUCCACUGUCUUACCCUAGAAAAUAUUUAAAAAAUGCGGAAGGAAAGGAAAAUUUGAAGGGACUGGAAAUGUACAGAGUAACAUAAAAUGACGAAAACUGAUGACGAAAUGAUGUAGAAAACGAAAGGAAAAUGACAAGUAUUGUAUUAUAAAACGAUAUAGAGGAAGUUAAAUUAAAACAAAAACAAUGAAAGAAAACACCAGCCCGGGAAAGGAAUUAAUAUUGAAAAAAAAAAUUAAAUA